rnacentral:rRNA from 1 species
GACGAACGCUGGCGGCGUGCUUAACACAUGCAAGUCGAACGGAAAGGCCCUGCUUUUGUGGGGUGCUCGAGUGGCGAACGGGUGAGUAACACGUGAGUAACCUGCCCUUGACUUUGGGAUAACUUCAGGAAACUGGGGCUAAUACCGGAUAGGAGCUCCUGCUGCAUGGUGGGGGUUGGAAAGUUUCGGCGGUUGGGGAUGGACUCGCGGCUUAUCAGCUUGUUGGUGGGGUAGUGGCUUACCAAGGCUUUGACGGGUAGCCGGCCUGAGAGGGUGACCGGCCACCUUGGGCCUGAGAUACGGACCAGACUCCUACGGGAGGCAGCAGUGGGGAAUAUUGCACAAUGGGCGGAAGCCUGAUGCAGCAACGCCGCGUGCGGGAUGACGGCCUUCGGGUUGUAAACCGCUUUCGCCUGUGACGAAGCGUGAGUGACGGUAAUGGGUAAAGAAGCACCGGCUAACUACGUG